ACAAGAGAGAGAGAGAGAACAAGAGAGAGAGAACAAGAGAGAGAGAGAGAGAGAGAGAGGGGGGAACGCUACACCCUCCCAGCAGCUGUCUCUGAUCCAACAUCUGUGUGUGCCGCUUCUCCUGUUCUCUCCAUCCAUCCUUUUGACUCGCUCCUCAAGCCAAUUAGAUCAUGAACAUGCUGUGUGCUUGUUGCUAGGGGGGGAAGAGAACCAAGAAGAGUGGAACAUCCGAUACUUUGUUGCUAAGCCUCCAGUGACAGAAGAAGAAAGAGUGCAAGAGAACAACUGAGAGGGACUGAGAGAGAGAGCAAAGGAUAAAGAGAACAAGAGAAGACAUCAGUCAGCUACAGUAUGAACCAGUCCAGCCAGGACCCGAGUGGAGUGGGAACAGCAGACCCCGAUGAGGAAUCUCCCAACAUGAUCAUCUACAGAAAGAUUGAGGAGAUAGUGACCCGUAUUCAGGAUGAGACUGAGGGCGUUCCCAUCAGAACUGUCAAGAGCUUCCUGACCAAGAUACCCAGCGUCGUCACAGGUGCAGACAUAGUGCAGUGGCUGAUGAAGAACCUAGCCAUUGAGGAUCCUGCUGAGGCGAUGCACAUCGGGAGUCUGAUUGCUGCUCAGGGAUAUUUCUUCCCCAUCUCUGAUCACGUCCUGUCACUCAAAGAUGAUGGAUCCUUCUAUCGCUUCCAGGCUCCAUAUUUCUGGCCUUCUAACUGCUGGGAACCAGAGAACACAGACUAUGCUAUCUAUCUGUGCAAGAGGACCAUGCAGAACAAGACUCGUUUGGAGCUGGCUGAUUAUGAGGCGGAGAACCUAGCCAGACUGCAGAGAGCCUUCACUAGGAAGUGGGAGUUUAUCUUCAUGCAGGCCGAGGCUCAAGUCAAGAUCGACAGGAAAAAGGAUAGAAUUGAGAGGAAGAUUCUAGAUAGUCAAGAAAGAGCUUUCUGGGAUGUCCAUAGACCUGUGCCAGGUUGUGUGAACACCACAGAGAUGGACAUCAGGAAAUGCAGACGCAUGAGGAACCCACAGAGAGUCAAGAAGUCAGUGUAUGGUCUGAUAGACGAGGGUCAGUCUCAGAGCCCUGUACACACACCAUCACAAAUAGCCAGAAAAGGCACCAAAGCGGACGUGGAGAAAGAGAUUCUGUUUCUUAACAGCCAGUUGGACCGACACUGUAUAAAGGUUUCUAAAGUUGCUGAGAGUCUAAUGAGUUACACAGAGCAGUACCAGGAGUAUGACCCGUUUGUGAUGUCACCAGAACCUUCCAACCCCUGGACCAGUGACGACCUUUCAUUCUGGGACCUGGAAGCCAGUAAGGACCCCAGUCAACAGAGGGUGAGGAAGUGGGGUUUCUCUCUAGAUGAAGCUCUGAAGGAUCCGGCAGGACGAGACCAGUUCCUCAAGUUCCUGGAAUCAGAGUUCAGCUCAGAGAACCUACAGUUCUGGUUGGCGGUGCAGGAUCUGAAGAGGCAGCCCCUGGAGAACGUGGCAGAACGGGCUCAGGAGAUCUGGACAGAGUUUCUGGCAGAAGGCGCUUCCAGCUCCAUCAACCUGGACUCACACAGCUACGAACGCACCAGUGCCAACCUUAAAGACCCGGGACGAUACAGCUACGAAGACGCUCAGGACCACAUCUAUAAGCUCAUGAAGAGUGACAGCUACACACGGUACCUGCGCUCCAACGCUUACCAGGAGCUGCUGAUGGCCUGGAAGAAGCCUGAGACGGAGCAGCAGCAGGGAAGACGCACCUCUCUGGAGAAGUUUACACGCAGCGUGGGCAAGUCACUGACAGGCAAACGGCUGACAGGCCUGAUGCAGUCGUCCUGACCAGGCCUGGGGCUGGAGUAAGACAGCUAUGCCCAGAGGAUCUGCUCUGCUGUGGGAAGAGGGCUGGAUGUUGAUGCUGAGAGGCCUAACUGGGGCCUGGACACGUCACCUUCAUAACUGACUCCAGAUCAGUUCCCUGAGCUCCAGUGGAGGACAGACAGCAUGCAAUAGGUCACCUAGAUCUGAUACGGGGACAGUGCUGUCUUUGUCUGUUUCUCAAAUGUCACUCUAUUCCCUAUAUAGUGUACUACUUUUGACCAGAGCCCUAUUUUGACUAGUUUGUCCAUAGGGCUCUGGUCAAAAGGUGUGCACUAUAAAGGGAAUAGGUUGCCAUUUGGGAGGUACAUAUUGUGUAGUUUAUCAACAUAUAACUCUGCCUGCUACUCUCUGUCUCACUUAGGUUCCUUUAAUCGAUUCUAGAACCAAAUGGAAUGUCAUAUAACUCUGCCUGCUACUCUCUGUCUCACUUAGGUUCCUUUAAUCGAUUCUAGAACCAAAUGGAAUGUCAUAUAACUCUAUCCAAUACACUCUGUCUCACUUAGGUUCCUUUAAUCGAUUCUAGAACCAAAUGGAAUGUCAUAUAACUCUAUCCAAUACACUCUGUCUCACUUAGGUUCCUUUAAUCGAUUCUAGAACCAAAUGGAAUGUCAUAUAACUCUAUCCAAUACACUCUGUCUCACUUAGGUUCCUUUAAUCGAUUCUAGAACCAAAUGGAAUGUCAUAUAACUCUAUCCAAUACACUCUGUCUCACUUAGGUUCCUUUAAUCGAUUCUAGAACCAAAUGGAAUGUCAUAUAACUCUAUCCAAUACACUCUGUCUCACUUAGGUUCCUUUAGUCGAUUCUAGAACCAAAUGGAAUGUCAUAUAACUCUAUCCAAUACACUCUGUCUCACUUAGGUUCCUUUAAUCGAUUCUAGAACCAAAUGGAAUGUCAUGUAACUCUAUCCAAUACACUCUGUCUCACUUAGGUUCCUUUAAUCGAUUCUAGAACCAAAUGGAAUGUCAUGUAACUCUAUCCAAUACACUCUGUCUCACUUAGGUUCCUUUAGUCGAUUCUAGAACCAAAUGGAAUGUCAUAUAACUCUAUCCAAUACACUCUGUCUCACUUAGGUUCCUUUAGUCGAUUCUAGAACCAAAUGGAAUGUCAUAUAACUCUAUCCAAUACACUCUGUCUCACUUAGGUUCCUUUAGUCGAUUCUAGAACCAAAUGGAAUGUCAUAUAACUCUAUCCAAUACACUCUGUCUCACUUAGGUUCCUUUAAUCGAUUCUAGAACCAAAUGGAAUGUCAUAUAACUCUGCCUGCUUCUCUCUGUCUCACUUAGGUUCCUUUAAUCGAUUCUAGAACCAAAUAGAAUGUCAGACUUGUUCUACUCUAGCUCGGCUUAUAUUACUACAGUAUAAUAGCUCAUUGUAACGAUUACACAACUCUUUUGUUCAAUCACAGAAACAUUAAA